GCUAUCUUUGAGUUUGUGCUAAAUACAGACACUUUAAAUAAUUUUCAUGCCCCUAAUUCGAUUACUUCAUCUACCAAUAUUUGGAGACAAAGACAUGAUGGAUUUUGACCAGUCUAUAUAAAUCCUAUUUCAUUAUUCAUUUCAGUCUUUCAGCAAACUUUGGUGGAGCAUCAACUCCAGUUUGGGAAGCUAUUGGCACUAAUAGCCACAAAAAUGAAUGACACACACCUCCCUUCAAAGUCCGUGUGCUGCUAGGCGAGAUCCAUGAAACAAAGUAAUCACGAUGCAAUAUAUUCAAAUGCCAGAAGCAUGUAUUUCCCAAGAGGGCAUACAGGACUAGUUAAAAUUCUUGAGGCUGCAACAUCUCUCACUACACCACGGCAUCUCACCUUGUGAUGUGAAACCCAGUCUCUCUCUUUCCAGUGUCCUGCACCAGGAGUUGGUCCCAGGCUACUUAUGUGUCCAGAGGAGCAAGGAAGGAAGCAGCCUAAGGGGCACACGUUUCCUAACGGAGGUUUCUAUCAAAUUCACUCCUUCAGCUCUACACGCUCCCUGCCCUCCCUAGACCUGGAAGCCUUGAAGAAUUCCAAAGAAUGCACGUCUAGUGUCGUCCUUGGGAUUGCGAUGUGUGGCAGGAGGUCAAAGGCACAAGAGCAGAUGAAAACUCUUCUGCUCUACAAAGAAAACAGGAAAAUGUCCAGAGCUCAGAAACGGAUCAGUAAUAAAGGAAGGCCUGAGGUGCAGCUGGGCAGAAGGCCGUUCACUUAG
rnacentral:lncRNA from 12 species